rnacentral:rRNA from 1 species
GACGUAGGGCGCGAGCGUUGUCCGGAUUUAUUGGGCGUAAAGAGCUCGUAGGCGGCUUGUCGCGUCGACUGUGAAAUCCCGAGGCUCAACUUCGGGCUUGCAGUCGAUACGGGCAGGCUAGAGUUCGGUAGGGGAGACUGGAAUUCCUGGUGUAGCGGUGAAAUGCGCAGAUAUCAGGAGGAACACCAAUGGCGAAGGCAGCUCGCUGGGACGGUACUGACGCUGAGACGCGAAAGCGUGGGGAGCAAACAGG